GCCUGGGUGGCUGAGUGGGUUAAGCGUCUGACUUCGGCUCAGGUCACGAUCUCGCGGUCCGUGGGUUCAAGCCCCACGUCGGGCU
rfam:Felis catus isolate Cinnamon breed Abyssinian chromosome A3, whole genome shotgun sequence.